AUCUACAGCCAUACCUGUUUGUCAAUGUCUAAUCUUGCCAGAUCUUGAAAGCUAAGCAGGACGGGGUCUGGUUAGUACUUGGAUAGGACACCAGUGGGAAUUACAGGUGCCACUGUGGAGC
rnacentral:rRNA from 1 species